UUCUGACCUCGGAUCAGGUGGGACUACCCGCUGAACUUAAGCAUAUCAAUAAGCGGAGGAAAAGAAACUAACAAGGAUUCCCUUAGUAACUGCGAGUGAAGUGGGAUGAGCUCAAAUUUAAAAUCUGGUAGUCUCUGGCUGCCCGAGUUGUAAUCUAGAGAAGUGUUUUCUGUGCUGGACUGUGUUUAAGUUUCCUGGAUAUGGAACAUCAUAGAGGGUGAGAAUCCCGUCCUUAAUACAGACUCCCCAGUACUAUGUGAUGCACUCUCAACGAGUCGAGUUGUUUGGGAUUGCAGCUCAAAAUGGGAGGUAAAUUCCUUCUAAAGCUAAAUAUUGGCGAGAGACCGAUAGCGAACAAGUACCGUGAGGGAAAGAUGAAAAGCACUUUGGAAAGAGAGUUAAACAGUACGUGAAAUUGUUAAAAG
rnacentral:rRNA from 1 species